rnacentral:rRNA from 1 species
CCCUUAGAUGUUCUGGGCUGCACGCGCGCUACACUGAAGCGUUCAACGAGUAUUCACCUUGCCCGGGAGGGUUGGGUAAUCUUUUGAAAACGCUUCGUGAUGGGGAUAGAUUAUUGCAAUUAUUAAUCUUCAACGAGGAAUUCCUAGUAAGCGCGAGUCAUCAGCUUGCGUUGAUUACGUCCCUGCCCUUUGUACACACCGCCCGUCGCUCCUACCGAUUGAAUGGUCCGGUGAAGCGCUCGGACCGCGGCCUCUUGACGGUUCGCUGUCGAUUGGCUGUGGGAAGUUCGUUAAACCUUAUCAUUUAGAGGAAGGAGAAGUCGUAACA